rnacentral:rRNA from 1 species
UACAGAGGAGCCAAGCGUUGUCCGGAUUGACUGGGCGUAAAGCGCACGCAGGCGGACGCGCGCGUGGGGUGUGAAAUCUGGCCGCUUAACGGCCAGGCGCCAUCCCAUACGGCGCGUCUGGAGUGAUGCAGAGGUCGGUGGAAUUGCCGGUGUAGUGGUGAAUGCGUAGAGAUCGGCAGGAACACCCAGGGGGAAACCAGCCGACUGGGCAUCUACUGACGCUGAGGUGCGAGAGCGUGGGGAGCGAACCGG